AGCAGCCGCGGUAAUUCCAGCUCCAAUAGCGUAUAUUAAAGUUGUUGCAGUUAAAAAGCUCGUAGUUGAAUUUCGGGGUCAGUAGGUCGGUCGUGCCAACGGUAUGAACUGGUCUCACUGAUUCCUCCCUCUUGUAGAACCGUGAUGCCAUUAAUUUGGUGUUGCGGGGAAACAGGACUGUUACUUUGAAAAAAUUAGAGUGUUUAAAGCAAGCUAACGCUUGAAUACAUUAGCAUGGAAUAAUGAAAUAGGACGUCGAUCUUAUUUUGUUGGUUUCUAGGGUUGACGUAAUGAUUAAUAGGGUAGUUGGGGGCAUUAGUAUUCAAUUGUCAGAGGUGAAAUUCUUGGAUUUAUUGAAGACUAACUACUGCGAAAGCAUUUGCCAAGGAUGUUUUCAUUAAUCAAGAACGAAAGUUAGGGGAUCGAAGACGAUCAGAUACCGUCGUAGUCUUAACCAUAAACUAUGCCGACUAGGGAUCGGAUGAUGUUAAUUUUUAAUGACUUACAUUUCGGCGCCUUA
rnacentral:rRNA from 1 species